UUUUGCCCCCAUCGGUCGCUGACGGGAAAUGAAUGUCUGUUUUGUUCAUUAUGACACCUGCUGAAUGAGACUUGAAGGCAAAGAUGUGACGAGAAGUUAAAACUCGCCUGUCGUCAUCAUGACGAUUGCCGGCAGUGACGCUGGACAUCCACUUCAGGGGUGGCGCUGUUUCGAAGGUUGGCCUCAUAAACAUGCCGGUGGACGGCCUGCAGGGGGAGGUCCAAUACUGGGAAGGAGCUGCGUGACGCCCUCCUCCUGUUGGAUGUACAGCUCAUAUGUCGGAAAAAACACCGCUGAUGUUGCUCGGCCAUUCUGUGAUGGAGAGUUACACAGUUAAUGCAAAGCAAA